UAGAGUUUGAUCAUGGCUCAGAUUGAACGCUGGCGGCAGGCCUAACACAUGCAAGUCGAGCGGCAGCGACUUAACUGAACCUUCGGGGAACGUUAAGGGCGGCGAGCGGCGGACGGGUGAGUAAUGCCUGGGAAUAUGCCCUGAUGUGGGGGAUAACUAUUGGAAACGAUAGCUAAUACCGCAUAAUCUCUUCGGAGCAAAGAGGGGGACCUUCGGGCCUCUCGCGUCAGGAUUAGCCCAGGUGGGAUUAGCUUGUUGGUGAGGUAAUGGCUCACCAAGGCAACGAUCCCUAGCUGGUCUGAGAGGAUGAUCAGCCACACUGGAACUGAGACACGGUCCAGACUCCUACGGGAGGCAGCAGUGGGGAAUAUUGCACAAUGGGGGAAACCCUGAUGCAGCCAUGCCGCGUGUGUGAAGAAGGCCUUCGGGUUGUAAAGCACUUUCAGUAGGGAGGAAGGUAGUGUAGUUAACACCUGCAUUAUUUGACGUUACCUACAGAAGAAGCACCGGCUAACUCCGUGCCAGCAGCCGCGGUAAUACGGAGGGUGCGAGCGUUAAUCGGAAUUACUGGGCGUAAAGCGCAUGCAGGCGGCCUGUUAAGUCAGAUGUGAAAGCCCGGGGCU
rnacentral:rRNA from 1 species